GCUUUGUUAUUGUUUAUUGUUAUUAUGUCAUCUGUACUGAAGGUCUCCUAUUGGGAGAUCUAAAUUAGACUAGAUUUGUUCAUGUUCUCCUAUCUGACCAGGCCCUUAUGUCUAAAUCUUAUGGGUGUGCUGCGGAUGUCAUGUCUGACUGUGUCGCUCUUUCUCCCUCUUUGCCUUUCUGCUGAAUCUUUCUGCUGCAUCCUUCACAGUUUCAAUCGAUUCAAUCCACCUUCUCCCUGUAGGAGGAUAACAGAUUAAAUGAGUAAAGUCUAAGGCCACCUCCAGAUAUUAAUGUUUUCUUCUGUGACUGAAUUGUCAAUUACACUAGCAGAAGUAUGUAAGAGGAAAACAUGUUCAUCUAUCUGUCCUACUUUGAGUGGAUUAUCUCAAAGGUCACAUUAACCAUAUUAAUAUUCUAUCAAUCCCUCUCUAUGUUUUUCUCAGGCCAAACAGCAGGGUGGGCAUGACCAGAGCGAGGCGUCGACCCAAGCAACAGGGUCCCCAGGCAGGGGGAGUGAGCGCUUCUCCUGGCCGGGCCCCAAGACGCUCCGGCUGCAGCGCACCUCGCAGUGUCUCGGCUUCACGCUGCGCCACUUCAUUGUCUACCCGUCCGAGUCAGCCGUCCACUCUUCUCUCAAGGAUGAGGACAAUGGCAGUAGAGGUAAGUGUGCAGCAUUUGUAUCACAUUCUCAUUGCGUUUGUAGCUCUACUCCCUCCAGGCUUUGAAUAGAACAUGUACUAUUUAGAAGAAGACUGAUCGGUAAGCAAGCUUCAUCCCUCUCCUUCAGUGUUAUGCAAGGUCACUCACAAACCAUUCAGAUGAACCUUCCCAUUCAACUUCAAAGCAUUUUGCAACGUGACAAAACAGUGCACUCUUGAAUGCACUUCAUUCCACACUGUAUCAAAUUAAAGAAGUCACCCCCUUCUCUUACACAGGAGAGAAGCCCCAGCAGUCACUGCACAACUCACUCUGGAUCCUGACGAAUCCUAGACAUGCGUUUGGUUACUCUCUCUAGUUUAGUGUAGUUUACUCUCU
rnacentral:lncRNA from 1 species